AUAUAUCAUACCCGUCACGUUAGAGUGUCACAUUUAAAAAAAGUUACACUAAAGAGUUUUUAAGUUUUUUAAAAUGUUACAUCAUAUCCGUCACGUUGGAGAAUCACAUGUCACAUUUGAAAAAAGUAUACUAAGAAAUUUUUUAUAACAACCCCAAUCCGUAAUUAACUACUAAUUCGUAAUUAAGAAUGCUAAUUAAGUGUUUAGAAUGAAAUUAUUUGUUAUUAUUAAUUGUGACAUGUGCUUUGCGGUAAUUUGUGCAUAUCUAUCUGAUUUGAAAAUAUUUUUAUCAUGAUUUCUACUUUGAAUCUGAAAUUGUUAGCCUAAAUGCUUUCAGAAACUGAAUUUGAGUACAUGGAUUGACUAACUAGAAUUUUUGGAACCAUAUGAGAAGUUUUGUUAAAAAUUGAUUCAGUUCAGUAAAAAUCGCAUGUGAAUAAAUUGGGCCUUAAUUGAAACUAUUUUGGAUUAAUUGAGUCAUGUGCUAACGCUGAUUAAUUAAGGUUACUUGUGUUUAAUUAAGAUGAUGCAUGAUUUAUGCCUAAUCUACUCCUAUUCAUGAUCCAAGAUGUGAUUAAGUGUAUAAUGUGCUAAGGCAUUUUGUAAUGUGGAGUGUAAAGGAUUAAAAUCCUUAGGUGAGUGUGUGCUGAGAAAUCUGUGUGGAUGUACUAAGAAAUUCGAGUUGUGCAUUUGGUGGUGUUAAGUGUAUAUGAUAAAUUCUUAUGGGUGUGUUGGAGUGGUGCAUGUGUGUGCACGUGUUGUAUGUUCAAAUUAUGUGUGUGUGUGUGAGAGAGAGAGAGAGAGAGAGAGUAUGUGUGUGUGUGUGUGUAUCUGCUGAAAUAUGACGGAAUGUAGGCAACAUUCCUCUUCUUCUUUCUAUUUUUUUAAGUAGAGAGUUCAUUCUAGAGAGAGAGAGACGAAGAUAGCUCAUUCUAGAGAGAGAAGCCUAUUUUUGUGCUAGAGAUUGAAGAAACUAAGAAGAUUCAUCUCACAUUUAUGAAAUUAAAGCUUUGGGUAAGAAUUCUAUGACUAAUUUCUAUUGUAAAUCCUCCAUGCAUUAUGAGUUCAUCAAGUUAUUGAGCUAAUUUCAUCUUUGAUUUUAUCAUUUUAAGUUUGAGUUUUAAAGUCCUUGCAUGCAUGUGAGUUUAAAUCAUGUCCAUUGUUUCAGAAAUUCAUGAGUUCAUUGAUUACCAUUUGCAUGUUAUGAAAAACCAUGAGGAAAGUUGAAAAAUCUUACAUGAAGGAGUUUUGGUUCAAAUUUUUUAAGAAUUGAUGAGUUUUUGAAUAAAAGAUGUUUUAAGGGUCUUGUAUUGGAGUUUUCUAAAGCUAUUUUGUGUGUUUGAUCAAAUCAUGCAAGACCCCAAGUUUUGAAGGUUGUUUGGAAGCCAUUUUUGUUAAGCUUGGUGCCUAGAAAUUCACAACUGACUCGAGCGACCAUGUGAUGGCUCGAGCCAACAUUACAAGCUCCUAGUAUGUUAAACUCUACAAAGCUGGCUCAAACGAAGAAGUGGUGGCUCGAGCGAGCUCAGUUUUUUCCUUCAGCUGGCUCUAGCCAUGAGAAGUUGGCUUUAGCCAACAGCUUAUUUUUAGCAUGUUUUCAAAAGAUGUUUUAAAUACAUAUCUUCGUUUCCAUCUCUUUCCGAGCAUUCUUAGGCAUGAUUUAUAAGUCAUUACAGAUUAAUAAGCUAAGAAACAUCAUACGUGAGUGAAUUAGAAAAUAUGUGUCGAAUCCGAGUAUAUGGUCCAAUAUGAAUAAGUUAUGUGACAUGGAAGAUAAGAAGUUAAAGUAAGAAAACUAAGGCAUGUAUGGCCAUAUGAAUGAGUGAUAAUGAGACAUGUUUUGUGCCAUUUACAUUUGUGUUUGUAGGUCAGGACUCGAAGGCUGACCAACCAUUUCUGGAAGCCCACUGGUUUUAGCUCACUGCGUGUAUAUAUAUGUAUAGGUGAGCGUUCUGGAGAUCAAGCCUGAAGACUUUUGUCUGGAUCUGUGUUCUGCUGUCAUCCAACCAUUGUGCCUCACGUGGAUGUUCCUGAUGUAUCACGUGUUAUAAACUCUUGUUGUUUCUGUAUAUAAAACUUUGUUUGUUUUUGUUGGUAGUACUUAAAAUGCUAUAGUUAAGUGUGUGGAUGUAACGUGAGAAUGAUUUUUUGGAUAUGUAUAUAAAGUCAUAUUCUGCUUCAUAUAA